GAAAAGUUCAUCUGGGUGUUUGAUAAUUAAGAAGAAAGAUGAUAGAAUAGGUAUGGGUGGAGGAGGGGGUGUGGGUACUUCAAGGGGUUCACAGAAGGUGAAAAAGAGGCCUAGAAUGGUUGAGAGUGCUUCGGAGUCGAGUGAAGAGUCAUUGGAGCCAAUUAGGAGAAAGGGUGGAGAGAAAUUUCACAAUGGGUCAGUUGGCAGUGCAAAAAGUGGCGUGGAAAGUAGAGAUUUUGGUAGGAAUGAGAAUAUUGAAAGUGAGAGUAAGAGAAGUAAGUUAGAUUUGUUUGAUUUCGACGAAUACGAUGAAUUCAAUGAGGCGAUGAAGUGGAAUGCUGCAAGAACUGGGAUUUCUAGUAGGAAUAUGAUGAUU
rnacentral:misc_RNA from 1 species